UACAGUCCCUGUGGAGGUAAACAGCUGCCCACAGUUGGUUUACAGUCUUGGCUGGUCCCCUUCUAAAUGAUUCCAACCUUAGCCACGUGACUUGUUUGGCCAAAGGGACAAUAGCAAAUGUAACACAAGUAGAGGGUUGAAAAGUGUGUGCACAUUGAGUCCUGCCCUGUCUUGCUGCUGAAAACUGCUGCUGCCACGUGGACAAGGCUGGGUUGAUCACAUGAAGGAUGAGAGGUCCCGAUUAUCCCAGCCACCCACACCAUGCCUGCUGAGGCCUCAGAAGCCCAACGGAGGCCACAGAGACCAUCCAGCAGUACACAGCUGGCCUAGACCAGAAAAACCUCCCUUAAGGAACUUAAAGAACAGUCCUUAACCUGCAGGAGACAGAUGUGUGAGCCAACAGUGACAGAGAGCACAGCAGUUACUCUGUCAGAGGCUUGUCUGGGGCAAGUGUGCAGAGCAGCGGGGCGUGGAGGAGGCUUGCGAGGACAGGAAGGACUGACAGAAGCCACCACACAGGAGCUGAGACCUGCAGAAAGAGCAGACACUGGCACGUGUACCAGCAGCAGGAGGAUGCUCCCGAUGGUGGAGGACCCCAGAUGCAGGCAACUCUAUAGAUCACUGGGGACUCAUCCUGCAGAUAUCAUUCAAGACAUCCAGUUCAGAAUCUAUCACCAGCUCAGAUUGUAGGCUCUGAAGAGAUCUCAGAUGUUUUGUGCCUUAUACAUUUAAUUCUGAGAUCACAGAGCCCGAGGAGGUUUUGAGGACCCUCUACUCCCACCUUCGGAUGUUUUCAGAGGAGUUGCUGGCAGGGCUGGGCCACUGGGCCUUGCUGGGAAUUAAUUCUCCUACCCACGUGUGUCCUAUAGAGCAUGAAUUUUCUCCUAAACACUCUUGACUUUUCACUUGUUAAAUUAAAGCAUUUUCUUAAAGAAAAGAUUAAAGCCAAGAGGUGUGAACUUUUUUUUAUUGGGAGAAGAGGUAUGUGUGUGUUUCCCCAGCCCUAAUCCACUUCCUCAAUGUGCAUAUCCAUACAUCACAUUCUUAUUUUCUUUAAUCCUAACUUGGACUUUUCCCCCCUCUUUAAAAAACUACUUUUCUCAAUUUCUUUUCUUGAUCAUUUUCUUCCUGUCUCCUGUGAUGUACAAAAUACUAUUUCCAGGGUUUUUCUCCUCCUCCUCCUCCUCCUCUUCUUCUUCCUCACUUUCCUUUUUGCAAAGUUAUACUCUCUGGGAACAUAAUUAACGUUUACUGGGCACUGGUGAUUGAUCCAUUCUUCUGGUAAUCCUCUCCCACUCUAUGCUCUCCUUCCCAUGACUCCUCCUCCACCCACCUUAUCCAGGAAUAUAGAAUUUUCCACUGCCUCAGAUUCACUCCUUUAUAAGAGUUCCCACCCUUUUCCGUCUAAUAUGUGCUGCCUCUUCCAAGUUGAAUUACAAGACUGGAACCAAUUUCUGUUUAUAGUCUCAUAACUCUGCAAGACCCUCCAUCCUUACUACCCUGGGAUAUGGAGACUUGAAAUUACCUGACUUUCUCCCUUGCUUUUUCA
ensembl:lncRNA